UUAACACGGAACGUAGCGCCAACAAUUGUGUAUUAAAAUUUAUACAGACAGCUAAAGUGUCGUGAACGUUAUUCAUGAAACAGUACCAUACAAACUUUGUACAACUUUUCAUAUGAGCUGCAGUUUGGACUAACUUGUUUUGCUAACAUAGCAUCAAUGCGUGACAAAAAAAAAUAUGUUCGUGCAGUAAACCGUUCAAGAGUUCUUUCGUCGAGAGCCGGGUCUUGCUUAUCAUAAUAAUGCAUUGUCAUCCAAACUAAACACUUCCAAAGCGCAGGUGAACAUGAAACGGGGAACCAAACUUCACCGCAGCCUUUUAUCCAAAGACUUCAUGUGGAUCUUAUAGUUAUAGUCGCGGUAUCAAUAAAGUUAGAUACAAUCUAGGUAUGUCAUGUUUGCUUAGGGUGGGUGUACCGUCAACUUUGACGUUGAUUAACUUUAACAUGCACAGAUAAACGAAAAGUACACCAGUUUAUCUAAACGUCAGGGGUGCAUCGGUUAAAAUCAACGUCAAAUUUGAUGGUGCAACUCACCCUUAGAUUCACUUUGAGCUUGGAUAUUGAACUUGCUAAUUCUUUAAUGCCUCGUUUACAUGGGCUUCGUAGUCUAACUAAAUUAUGUGCAUAGUAAAACGUUAUGACGGAA